CACGGCGAUCCUCCCGCCUCAGCCUCCGGAGUGCAGGGUCUCCCAAGACGCUAAGCCGCCCAGGCUGGGCUGGAACUCGAGAUCCUCCUGCCUCAGCCUCCGGGACAGCUGGGAGCACAGGCGGACGCCACCCCCGCCUCUGAAGUGACUUGAAAACAUUCUCCGAGACCCCACGCUCACCGGCCCGGCUGAGGACAUCUGGGGACUGGUGUGCUCGUGUCCAGAGCCCGGGUCCCCUCUCUGUCCCCAGCACAGAUGUCCAGGUGCGCGGGACGGUGGCCUGGAGGAGGGGCAGGGACCCCCAGACUCUGCUCAGGAUUCAAUUGCCGGCCGGCGUGGUGCCCUCCACUCAGGAGGCUGAGGCAGGAGGAUCCCAGCCCUCAGGAGGCUGAGGCAGGAGGAUUGCAGCGAGUUCCAGGCCCGCCUGGGCUACAUAGAGAGAUGCACGCGGCCGGGAGCUGUGACACCCGUCUCUGUCAGACGCCCCAGCCCUGGAGGACGCCGUGUCCCUAAAUCCACUCAGCACGCGAUGCCGAUUAUGGCUGUGAUGGAGGAGGACGUGUCCCCUCCCAAAGUCAUCCUGUCCGUGAAUAUUGCGCCCCUAAACUUUGUUCCCGGCUCUCCGCAACACCUGGCUCCUGGGUUGCCCUGGCUGGCAGUUGGCCCGGGUUCUGGCGGGAUUCGGGAGCCAAGCAGGAAGCUGAUGGAGAAUGGGUGUGGUGAGGGCGAGGGCAGGGGCAGCCACUUUGGUGUGCAGAGGAAAAAAAAAAAAAA